rnacentral:rRNA from 1 species
GGGGGGGGGGGGGGGCGGGCCUGGCGCAUGCAAGUCGAACGGCAGCACGGGUGCUUGCACCUGGUGGCGAGUGGCGAACGGGUGAGUAAUACAUCGGAACAUGUCCUGUAGUGGGGGAUAGCCCGGCGAAAGCCGGAUUAAUACCGCAUACGAUCUACGGAUGAAAGCGGGGGACCUUCGGGCCUCGCGCUAUAGGGUUGGCCGAUGGCUGAUUAGCUAGUUGGUGGGGUAAAGGCCUACCAAGGCGACGAUCAGUAGCUGGUCUGAGAGGACGACCAGCCACACUGGGACUGAGACACGGCCCAGACUCCUACGGGAGGCAGCAGUGGGGAAUUUUGGACAAUGGGCGAAAGCCUGAUCCAGCAAUGCCGCGUGUGUGAAGAAGGCCUUCGGGUUGUAAAGCACUUUUGUCCGGAAAGAAAUCCUUGGCUCUAAUACAGUCGGGGGAUGACGGUACCGGAAGAAUAAGCACCGGCUAACUACGUG